rnacentral:rRNA from 1 species
AUGGAGGUGUGUAUUAACAAGGCGGAAUAUGAAUCAAGGAUUGGGAAGGCUUGGGCCAAAUGGUUUCACGCUAAUGACAUCCCUGGGCACAAAGCCAAUUGUCCAUAUUUUGUAGGAGCCGUGAAAUUGACUCAAGACCUUGGCAAAGGGGUGCCUGCCCCUAAAGGGAUAGAUAUUGAUGGAAUUUAUUUGAAUUCCAACUAUGAAGAAUUGCAGCAGUAUGUGGCCAAGUUCAAAGACGAUUGGCCCACCUAUGGUGUUACUAUCAUGUCAGAUUCGUGGACCGGCCCUUCUCGGAUGAGCAUUAUAAAUUUUAUGGUGUUCUCCAACGGGCGUAUGUAUUUCCACAAAUCUGUUAAUGCCACUGGACACAUGCAAAAUCCUAAGUUUGUUUAUGAGCACAUUAAAGAAGUGAUCGAAGAGAUAGGGCAGGAACAUGUUGUCCAGCUUGUGACCGACAAUGGCUCUAACUUCAAGAAAGCAUGUCUUGAUCUUGUUGUCGAUUUCCCACACAUCACAUGGCAGCCAUGUGCGGCUCACACAAUUAACCUCAUGUUAAAGGAGAUGGGAUGUUUUCCUGAGAUUAAUACAGUGGUCAACAGUUGUAAGAGAAUCUGUAGAUUCAUGUACAAUCAUUCAACUUUGCCUUCAAUCCGGUUGUCAUAG